rnacentral:lncRNA from 1 species
AAAGAUUUAAAUUCAACAUCAGAUAUAUUGAUCUUACUCUAAAUAGUGAAAAGAAUUUUCUAGAAAAUUUUCAACGGAUUUGGAAUGUUUUACACCGUUAAACUCACAAACACACCACAUCGGCCAUUAAAAUUGUCAAUUUUGAGAUCUUUUGAUCACUAGUCAAAUGAUGUCGAAAAAAUCUGAAAUUUAGUUUCUAAAUACUUUCAAUAGUGUAGAUCAAGUCUAAUGGAGCCGAUCGCCGAUUUGGAAGCCGCAUCAUCGAAAACAACUUGGUAGCACGGAGCCCUCCGUGCUACCGAUAGUAUAGUAGCCGGACUCUCUCUCUCUCUCUCUCUAUAUAUAUAUAUAUAUAUAUAGAAUUAGUUAGAAUACUCUCAAAAGCACCAACCCCUUUGUGCUUUUGAGUUUCUAGUCCUUGAAUCUACUCCUUGAUUACUAAUAACCUUUGGAUCAAACACUAUUCAACCUACCACCACCUAUCACCAUCAUCUCAACUCUACAUCUGUAAGGACUGAGAUUUUUGACAGUGCUACUAAACUCUCUGUUGAUGAUGUUUAUGUGUGUAAUUUAAUUACAUAAGCACUCGUCAAGUUUCAGGCGAAAAUGAGCUAAAACGGAGAAGAUACACGAUUAUUAGUUUUCACUUAAGUGAAUAGUAACUCCGGUUUUUCGGGGAAGCCACGGAGUAGAGUUGGCUUCUGGUGCGUAUCGGACUCCGUUCAUAUCAGUCCAAUAGCUCAUUUCAAAGGAUUCAGCUAUUCUGGAACUACUGGCGCUGACAGAUUUUGAGUUUGAUGCACGGAUUUUGAGAAAAUCCAAAAAUACGCGUUUUAUAUGUAAUUGUGCGUCUUUUUGGCCUUAUGGAGAGAGAAUGGAUUUCGUCGCGAAUCCGUGACCGUUCGAGGUGAACCAAAAUCGUAGAUCUGUUGUCUACGAGGUGCUGAUCGCACUGGUGCAAUCCGUUCGCAAAUCUGACGGACGGAUCUGCGGAGAUUGCGCGUUGAUCGAGGAGAGGUCUGUAAUGGCAAAACGGUAAUUUCGCAAAAGUUGCAAUAUUUUAUGUACCGUUUCGCGUGGGAUCGCACAUGGAGGGGUGUUCGCGCGUUUUACAUACGCUGUGAUGGACUCAGUAUUAAAUACUGAGGUUUGGUGGACUUAAUUGCAAGGUUGCACCAUGUAUAUAAGCUUGUUCAAGGGUCUGCUCAUUGGAAACCCUAACCCUAGCCUUGCCGCAACCCCCAGCCACCCUCACCUCGCUCCCCUGCCCUAGCCAUGCGCCCAGGCUGCCGCCUACUGAACCCCGGC